CCUACGGGAGGCAGCAGUAGGGAAUUUUGCGCAAUGGGCGAAAGCCUGACGCAGCAACGCCGCGUGAUCGAGACGCCCUUCGGGGUGUAAAGAUCUGUCAGUGGGGACGAAACUGGACGGUACCCACAGAGGAAGCACCGUCUAACUCCGUGCCAGCAGCAGCGGUAAUACGGGGGGUGCAAGAGUUGUCCGGAAGCAUUGGGCGUAAAGAGUUCGUAGGCGGCACGGAUAGUCUGGUGGUAAAGGCAUAGGCGCAACUUAUGUACGGCACUGGAUACUUGCGAGCUAGAAUGCGGUAGAGGUAAAGGGAAUUCCUGGUGUAGCGGUGAAAUGCUUAGAGAUCAGGAGGAACAUCGGUUGCGUAAGCGCUUUAUUGGGCCGUAAUUGACGCUGAGGAACGAAAGCCAGGGUAGCAAAUGGGAUUAGAUACCCGAGUAGUC
rnacentral:rRNA from 1 species